AUUUAAAAGGAAAAAUAGUUUAGGUAACAAAAAAACACAUGUAAAAGAGAAAAAUAUUUCUUGACAAAGUGAUUAAAAGUUUUUUAUUUUAGUCUAAUUGUUAAAAGCAAACUGAAUAAAAAUAAUUGUUUGAGUAAAUUUUAAAUAAAUGAUAUAUUUUUGAAGAAACUAACAUAAAAUAAAAGAAAAGAAAAGCAAUUAUAAAAAAGAAAGAACAGUUUAGGUAACACAAAAGCAUAGGUAAAAAGGAAAAAUAUUUGGUGACAGUGAUUAAAAGUGUUUUUACAAAAAUUGAAAGAAAAGAAGAUACAGAAAGGGAAACUCGAACAUGAAUUGGGUGACACAACCUUAGACCAUCUCCAAUGGAGUAUCCAUGAGGGUUCUAUGUGAUGGUUCUAAGUAAAUAAAUGUUGAAAAUUAAAUCAAAAUGAGGAAAAAUAGAUAGAUAUGGUUCUAAAAAUGGAAGUUUUAGAACCAAUUCUAAAUAAUAUGUGUCACUUUGUGAUAUAAUAGUAUUUUAAAGGGAAAAAAAUUAAAUCCAAUUGUUCUUUCUCUCUCUCUCUUUGGCGGAUUGAAAGCAACUCUUUUUUUUGUAGACGAAACAGAGAUCUUCUUUCACAAUUUGGCGACUUAGCUGUCAAUCCUCUCCAUCCUUUAUCUACUCUGCUCCUUUCAAUCAAGAUAACAUGAAAGAGUAAUCAAAACCUGACGAUGUGGGGAUCGCGACCGAGCAUGCGGAGGAUGGAGAUCUCGCAGAGAGUGGUGGGAGGAACGCCUUCUUCGUCUUCGUGGAGACGAGUCUUCUUCAAAGCGACGAUGAGACCCGUAGCUUUUUCUCUCGCUCUGUACACUUUGCCGUAAGUGCCUCCCCCUACUUUCUCUAGCUUCUCGAAGGCUUCCAUGGCCGACACUUUGCUGUAUGGUGUUGGUGUAAUCUGCCAUCAAGUUUCAAAACUUGAGCGUGCUCUUAAAAUUUCUGAGGUAACUUCUCCCUACCAUGUUUGGUUCGAGUUUGAGAAACUGUUCGGGCUAACUGUACCACUGCAAGAGGUAAUAAUCAAUUGAUGUGUCUUUUGCUUGUUCAACAAGAUUCUGUUGAAUCUGUCCAAAAACCUGCAACUUGAACCCAUGAAAUAAUGUACAGGUAAGCUACUUUAGGAGAGGAUUAUGGUUAGAAUAAAAGGUAGUGAAUCACGACCAAGUAACAUAUAGAAAUUUCUACUUGCAGAGAGUUCAUAGAAUCAACCGGAGUACGCAUCAGAGCUAUGAUCAAUUUGUAAAUCACCUUCAAAGUUGGCCCAAAAUCAUUUAAAUCUACAGAAACUGGAGAAACUGUUCUAUUGCUGCAUUGUCAGGACUCCGUUUGACAAGGUAAAUUAAUUUUUAUUGAGUUGAUAUUUGAUAUAGAUAAUCAUGAAAUAUCCGACUUCAUAAUCAACAGUGAGAUUUUGAAGUGGACGGUUGGAUUAGUAGUUAUUCAUGUCUUUCUGAAUCAGUUUGAUGCACUGUAAAACAGAGUGAUAUGUUUGAUGAAUUGUCUUGUUUGGUUGGAAAAUGAGCUCGGACAGAGUGAUAUGUUUGAUGUAUUUCUCAAUAAUUAUAAGUUUUUUUUAUUAUAGAAUGAAAUGCAAGGAAUCUAUUAUUACAA